CUAUAGAGGACAUUAACACACCUGACUCACCUAUAGAGGACAUUAACACACCUGACUCACCUAUAGAGAACUAGAUUAACACAUCUGACUCACCUAUAGAGGAGAUUAACACACCUGACUCACCUAUAGAGGAGAUUAACACACCUGACUCACCUAUAGAGGACUAGAUUAACACACCUGACUCACCUAUAGAGAUUAACACACCUGACUCACCUAUAUAGAUUAACACGUGUUUCUGAAACAGAGGGUCACUAAGCCGUGGUACGGACAGGGAAAGGUUAGCAUCACAGUGAUGCCACUCACACACACAGCAGGUAUGGACUAGUCUGUGUUGUGGGCACCUGGGUUCACGUUGGGCUAUUCGUCCUUAUUAAGACAUAUAUUUCCUUAUACAUUGAUAUGCAUUUUCCUAAUACAUUUAUAUAUUUCCUUAUACGUGUAUAUAUAUUAAAAUAUAUAUUUGUAUAUAUUCCUGGCAUUACUUGAUGAAAUUUCUCUUUUGAAUAUGAACUGAAAUGAUGUUUCAUAUCCACAGCUUUGUACUUAUUUUGGACAGUGUUGAGCACCAGGUUCCUACGUGUUCGUACCUACAACGAAAUGAUAGGAGAUUAUUUCAUUAUUUUUCUACUUUUUAAAUAUUUUGGCUGGUUUGGGUGUAACUAAGGCAACAGGGUUAAAAAGGCACAGAUUGUUGACCCGAGCAGCAUGUUGGUGGUUUACACUGUUAUAACAACAUGUCAAUCCCAUAUUCUUCUUUUCAUUAGGACUUGUUUAAUUUCAGUUGAAAUAUAUGUCCUGUCCUGUGCUUCCUGUCCUGUGUGUUGUCCGAGGUAAUGUUUGUAUAGAACACAUUCAAGAUGUGAAGUUUGUCCUAAAUGGAAUGCCUAUUCCCUACAUAGUGCACUACUUUAGACCAGAGCCCUAUAGAACCCUAUUCCCUAUAUAGUGCACUACUUUAGACCAGAGCCCUAUAGAACCCUAUUCCCUAUAUAGUGCACUACUUUAGACCAGAGCCCUAUAGAACCCUAUUCCCUAUAUAGUGCACUACUUUAGACCAGAGCCCUAUAGAACCCUAUUCCCUAUAUAGUGCACUACUUUAGACCAGGGCCCUAUAGAACCCUAUUCCCUAUAUUGUGCACUACUUUAGACCAGAGCCCUAUAGAACCCUAUUCCCUAUAUAGUGCACCACUUUAGACCAGAGCCUUAUGGUCAGCCCUAUGGGUCCUGGUCUAAAGUAGUGCACUAUAUAGGGAAUAGGGUUCUAUAGGGCCCUGGUCUAAAGUAGUGCACUAUAUAGGGAAUAGGACCCUGGUCUAAAGUAGUGCACUAUAUAUGGUUCUAUAUGGCUCUGGUCUAAAGUAGUGCACUAUAUAUGGUUCUAUAGGGCCCUGGUCUAAAGUAGUGCACUAUAUAUGGUUCUAUAGGGCCCUGGUCUAAAGUAGUGCACUAUAUAUGGUUCUAUAGGGCCCUGGUCUAAAGUAGUGCACUAUAUAGGGAAUAGGACCCUGGUCUAAAGUAGUGCACUAUAUAUGGUUCUAUAGGGCCCUGGUCAAAAGUAGUGCACUAUAUAUGGUUCUAUAGGGCCCUGGUCUAAAGUAGUGCACUAUAUAGGGUUCUAUAGGGCCCUGGUCUAAAGUAGUGCACUAUAUAGGGUUCUAUAGGGCCCUGGUCUAAAGUAGUGCACUAUAUAUGGUUCUAUAGGGCCCUGGUCUAAAGUAGUGCACUAUAUAGGGAAUAGGACCCUGGUCUAAAGUAGUGCACUAUAUAGGGUUCUAUAGGGCCCUGGUCUAAAGUAGUGCACUAUAUAUGGUUCUAUAGGGCCCUGGUCUAAAGUAGUGCACUAUAUAGGGAAUAGGACCCUGGUCUAAAGUAGUGCACUAUAUAUGGUUCUAUAGGGCCCUGGUCUAAAGUAGUGCACUAUAUAUGGUUCUAUAGGGCCCUGGUCUAAAGUAGUG
ensembl:lncRNA